rnacentral:tRNA from 1 species
CGUUCCGUGGCCAAACUGGUCAAGGCAUCGCCGAUAUAGGCGAAAAUGCGGGUUCGAAUCCCACUGGAACUG